AAUAUGACAUUUAGACAGAUGAGCCAGCAAUACAGUAGUUACAUGUGUCUGGGAUUUGUUUUUUAAAUUAUAUGUACCGCUUUUAAUAGCCUGAUUACAGCUGUUCAGUAAGUGAUGCCUCUAGACUGAAGAGGACCGAAAUGAGAAGCAGGCCAGCUAAGAGGGCUGGGAGCAGCACGUUCCCCUUGUUAUUGCCAGCUAGUGGGGAGAGAACAUAUGGCCACUUUACAAAGUUAAGAAUCACAAACAGCAGACAAGAAUGAAUGAUUAAUGCUGGAGUUCCUGGAGUAUGGGCCAAAGAAGUUCCCCCAAAACUAUUGUGACCAUGAAAUUUGGAAGCCAAGCAUAGGAUACCAGGAGAGGUUGGAUAGAAGCAAGAUUUAUCAGAAUUAGCCUUGGAAUCUCUGACUCAAGUAUGGACUAUCAUCAGCCAUUAGCACCAGACAAAAUGCAGCCACUGACAAUCUUCUGGGAUGCCGCUAAGUAUACUUGACCUAACAACUACCAGUAAAACUUUCUGACAUGUGCUUUGAUUCUAGAUUAUCAACUAAGAAUUCAGGGAAACAUUCUACUAAAUAACAUGUCCUAUGUAAGUGAGAUAAUUAUAACAGCCUCCUCACUAGGUUAUGGGCCCCCAAAUUUGUACUUUUCAGAUCUUUCUUCUACGUUGCAGUCAGACACAGAUUUGAUCACGCCACACCAUUGCUCAGAAUUCUUUGGAUGCAACUUACUGCCUAUAGGAUGAAGACCACACUCAGGCAUUUCCUUGAAUGCUGACACAAUCCUACCCCAACCUACCUCACGAUCUUCCUACUGCAUGCAUGCUCCCUUCAGAUCUAAUUGGCUUUUUUUCACUAAUGCCUGCACUUGACCUAAGUGAAGAUUCUGAAGCAGGAGAGAAACUGGUUUUCUAGGCCUAUCUUGAGUCUCUUUUAUCAUUGACCAUCUUUCGCUACCACAAAAGAAUCAUAUUCUAUUGCACAAGACCUAGUGGGCCUCAUUUAAGAUUUUGAACAUUAUUCCAACAAAAUUCCUAAAAUUUUAAGUUUGUACUUAUAUCAUAAAGCUAGACCUUGCAUUUAAAACUCACCUUUAGAAAACUUGCUUUAAAAAAACAAAAACAAGUAAUUUUGAUGAAUUUGGAAAUUCUGUGACUUAAUCUUAUCUGUUAUCUGAGUAAGAGUUUAAGCAACAGUGACACUGGAAAAUAAAAUGAUAUUUAUGUAUAAAACAAUGAUAAUACUAUAGAAUGUCAUCUUUCAGGGUAACAUUUGUUGAGUUACAGAACUGAUUCAUUGAUUGCACUAAAGUUAUACCAUUGAAUAACUUGCAUGGAGGGAAACCAGAAUUAUAACCACGGGUAAAAAUUGAUAUAUUAGAGGUGAAUUUUGGAAGAAAUAAAAAUGUAGAAGGCAAUUAUAAGGGGAGCACUUAAAUUAGGUAUGAAUGGUUUAUGCUAUUGAUUAAAGCAUUUUAAAAAUCAAUAAAAGAACACUUUGUACCAAGUAGCUUUCAGGAACUUUCAGGGAAGACCAUUUGAUUCAGUUCAAAAGUCAGAAGCCUCUGCCCUAACAGGUAAAAAGCG
rnacentral:lncRNA from 1 species